rnacentral:rRNA from 1 species
UGGGGAAUUUUGGACAAUGGGCGAAAGCCUGAUCCAGCAAUGCCGCGUGUGUGAAGAAGGCCUUCGGGUUGUAAAGCACUUUUGUCCGGAAAGAAAUCCUUGGCUCUAAUACAGUCGGGGGAUGACGGUACCGGAAGAAUAAGCACCGGCUAACUACGUGCCAGCAGCCGCGGUAAUACGUAGGGUGCAAGCGUUAAUCGGAAUUACUGGGCGUAAAGCGUGCGCAGGCGGUUUGCUAAGACCGAUGUGAAAUCCCCGGGCUCAACCUGGGAACUGCAUUGGUGACUGGCAGGCUAGAGUAUGGCAGAGGGGGGUAGAAUUCCACGUGUAGCAGUGAAAUGCGUAGAGAUGUGGAGGAAUACCGAUGGCGAAGGCAGCCCCCUGGGCCAAUACUGACGCUCAUGCACGAAAGCGUGGGGAGCAAACAGGAUUAGAUACCCUGGUAGUCCACGCCCUAAAACGAUGUCAACUAGUUGUUGGGGAUUCAUUCCUUAGUAACGUAGCUAACGCGUGAAGUUGACCGCCUGGGGAGUACGGUCGC